AUAAAAAGGCAUCCAAGAAGUUGAUGUGAGAUUGUGACAGUGUGAAGCCAGUGGACCUGAUGCUGAAGAUAACGUUCCUGCUGGUGCCUCUAAUCAUGUAGGUAUUCAGAAGAUGCCCACUGAAACACCUCCUGAAGUUUCUCAAGGUACCUGAGAUUUUACAUUGGAAUAUAGCCAGCAAUGUAAGUACAUGAACCUCCCACAAAAUUCAGGCUUAAUAAAGUAAGUAUUCUUAUGUACAGGUAAUGAGUCCAGGACAAAGAUUGGGAACCCAUGAAUAAGUUGAAGAGUGUGUUGGUCCAAUGCUGAGAUUUUUUUACAACUGUGAUGACACUUUUGAAAGCACAUAUAACUAAAGGGAAACUCGGCACUUUGUCUGAAUGCCAGCAGUGUUAGACUUUGUAAGAAAUGGAGGUCUUUGCUUGAAAAGGAAAGCCCAAAAUAAGUGAUACACAAGCAAGUACGUUAUUUCUUUGAGAUUUUUUUGUCCACUUAUUUUGUUUUUCAUUUACAUAUGCAGCAGAUUGUUUUUAAAUUCUACAGUUGUUCUUAAAUUCUGCUUUAACAUUUUAUUUUGAAUAACUGGUUUAGGUUUCAUCUUAUGUUUUAUUGAU